rnacentral:tRNA from 2 species
GCUCGGUUGGUGUAGUCCGGCCAAUCAUGAAAGCCUUUCGAGCUUUCGACAUGGGUUCAAAUCCCAUACCGAGCA